rnacentral:lncRNA from 1 species
UCCUAGGGCAUCAAAUACCAAUAGAGUAAUUAUACUUUUUUGAUGCAAUCGAACCACUGUAACCAGUCGAGAACGAUCAAUGCGAAGAAGGCACCUGCAUCUCUACAACGAUGGAAGACCUCUAGACUUAAUAUUUAGCGAGGAGAUUUAGAUUUAGAUCUCUUCUAAAUUAGCAGAUAUGAUAUCCGACUGAUCAAGUUC